rnacentral:sRNA from 1 species
GUCGUGAGAUGUUGGGUUAAGUCCCGCAACGAGCGCAACCCCUGUCCCAUGUUGCCAGCACGUAAUGGUGGGGACUCUUGGGAGACUGCCGGGGUCAACUCGGAGGAAGGUGGGGACGAUGUCAAGUCAUCAUGCCCCUUAUGUCCAGGGCUGCAAACAUGCUACAAUGGCCGGUACAAAGGGCUGCGAAACCGCGAGGUCGAGCGAAUCCCGUAAAGCCGGUCUCAGUUCGGAUUGGAGUCUGCAACUCGACUCCAUGAAGCCGGAGUCGCUAGUAAUCCCGGAUCAGCAACGCCGGGGUGAAUACGUUCCCGGGCCUUGUACACACCGCCCGUCACACCACGAAAGUCGGAGACGCCCGAAGCCGGUGGCCCAACCUUAGGGAGGGAGCCGUCGAAGGUGGAGUCGGCGAUUGGGGUGAAGUCGUAACAAGGUAGCCGUACCGGAAGGUGCGGCUGGAUCACCUCCUUUCUAAGGAGUCAAUGUCUUUGCUUUCCGCAGAGACGACUCUCGAAAGUUGAACACUCGCUUGGUGACCGUCCUCUCUUCUGUUUUGAGGGAGUGAAUCCCUCUUCUUGCAACGCCCGAGGCACCGUGACGCCGCUCGCUACAGCGAGCUGGACGCGUCCUCGGCCGACGUCGCUCCUUGAGAACUGCAUAGCGAGCACGAGCAUCUUUGUUCUUCCAAGCUACAAAAGGCCAACGGUGGAUGCCUUGGCACCUGACACCGAUGAAGGACGUGGGUGGCUGCGAAAAGCCACGGGGAGCUGCCGACCAAGCUUUGAUCCGUGGAUAU